UCAAGACGAGCCAGAAGAUUUCAAAACAGCACAACUCCCAUCUAUGGCAAAGGGACACCUGAUACUGAAACCCAUUGUCAUAUCUUUAAAGAUUGUCCAGAGCAGGCCAAAGAGCAUCUGAAACCUCAAGUUCAUAUCUCUCUAGAAAAAGGACAGCCCUCAGAGACAUCAUGCAAACCACAUGACAGAGGAAGAAGCUGAUACCCUGACUCCUGUGUUCCCUUCUUGCUCAAGUGCUGCUCCAAACCAGCCCCUUAUGGCUCUUGGAAUGGAUGAAUUCUGGUCUUUGUGGUGCUGGAGUUCUUUGUUUCCUGUGGCCUGAAAUUUAGAUAAACUCAGUUUACAAAUUGUUGGAAGAAUUUGGUGCUGUGAAGUUGUCCAAAAUAGUGGCAAUAACAAUUGAACAUGUGCUUGUAUUCCAGUGUUAUAACUGGGGCAGUGAAUUAAACUCAUAUAUGUGGGCAAGAACAGAGCAGACAGUAUGAUCCUCUCUCUAAAUGUGAAAUUGAUGCAGCUGGUGAGGGGUCAGUAGCUCUGACCGAGGAAGCUGUGACUGGUCCGGAGAGAUG